UACGAAGGGGGCUAGCGUUGUUCGGAAUCACUGGGCGUAAAGCGCACGCAGGCGGAUCGUUAAGUCAGGGGUGAAAUCCCGAGGCUCAACCUCGGAACUGCCUUUGAUACUGGCGAUCUUCGAGUCCGGGAGAGGUGAGUGGAACUCCGAGUGUAGAGGUGAAAUUCGUAGAUAUUCGGAAGAACACCAGUGGCGAAGGCGGCUCACUGGCCCGGUACUGACGCUCAGGUGCGAAAGCGUGGGGAGCAAACAGGG
rnacentral:rRNA from 1 species